rnacentral:lncRNA from 1 species
CCAAACCUCUUGUGGCUUGAAUUUCUCAUUAUAUUCAUACUGAUUAGGGAAGGUCAGCAUAGGAGGUAGGUAAAUUUGUUGUCUGGAGAAGGGUUGCAAUAAAUUGAUUUGUAAAACACUGCAAAUUGUUCACAACCAUCCAUAAUGUGCUCCUGUGCACUUCCUGCCACUUGCCAGAAGCAAGUGGAGUUGAUAUGUCUUUUGAGGUUAAUAAGUUUAGAAAGCAACGAAUUGAUGCAUUUUGAUCAGCUUGAUUUUCUUGAUCCUCGGUAUCUACUUUUUCAGCAAGCAUGAUCCGAGUAUAUCUAGUAGGCAAUGAAGGUUUCUUCUUCAAUAUUGAAGUCAAUGAUUGCCAAGAUUUACAAACAGUAGCAAAGGAAGUAAAAUCCUCUAUUACAGUUAAACAUUGUGCGAUAACAACCAAAAUGUCCAUUGGAAGAUUGGUCCAAUCUGCCAUGUUCAGUUAUCAACUGCAACCCAUAAAUUCAAGAUGAAAGUAAUGAAAUAAAUGAAAUAGGGAAAAAGACGAUAAAUUUUUUUUUUUUUUCAGUCCCACAACAAAAAUUUAUACUCAUGAAGAAAAUUAGGUAUGUCAAUGCAGCAACGAGCAUUCAGAUUUCCCUUUUCUUCCAUUCAUUCUUUGAGUUCGAGCUAUAUUAAAGCAAAAGUGAAUUUUCAUUACAAUAAUUCAGAAAUACAGUUUAUUGAUUAGUUGGAUUAGUUAAAAUUAUCAUUAAUUAAUUAUGAGAUACUUAUAUGUAAAAUGAUAGAAAAGUAUUUUAGAAUAUUUGACAAAAGAUUAACAUCAAACUAUAUACUUAUGAGUUUGUUUGGGAGUGAUUUUGAGAAUUGAAUUUUUGACCGUUAGGAGAAAAGUGGGAUCCAUCUGUGAAAGAAGAAGUCAAAUAUGACGGCUGAAAUAGUGAAAUAACGGUCAAAAAAUCAAAUUUUUGGGUGAAAAAUGGGCCCAAACAGGCCCUAUAUAUCUCUACUUUCUUCCCGGCAUAAUCCAGCGUAAAAGGUUCACAUCGCGAGCCUCAUACCUUGAGUAAUCACAAUCCAUUGCAUACAUGUAACAGCAUAAACUUAAAUUAAAAGGAAAGGAUAUCUAGAAACAGAGAGAAAUUAAAUGAGCAAAUAAGUAUUAAUAUUGAGAAAUUGAUAACAAAAUACUACUGCAAGAAUAAAAGUAAAAGAGUUGGCUGAAUUUUUUUACAAUGUCAAGGUAACAUGUAGUUCAAUGAAAAUUGAAAAAUACAUGCUACUAUGACCAUUUUUCAGUAAAACGGUUCAUCCGUUAUCCGUAAAUUCACUUUCUAUGUAAGAUGAAACAACUUUUUACAGAAAUGACACACGAUAAAAGAGCAUCCAGGGUUCAGUCUUUCAUCAGAUUUCAUCACAAUCAAUGAAAUAAAAAUCAAAGUACUUUUACCAGUUACAAUUAAAUCUUAAUAUAAAUAUAGCGAUAUGUAUAAAUUAAAUUUAAAAAACAUGAACAGAGUUUUGAAAUUGACAAAUAAUUUUGGAGAGAGAUUUACUGAGAAGGGAAGAAUAUGGAUCUGAGAAAUUUGAGCAAAUUGUAGUAUUGUAGCUACUUUUAUAAUUGGGGUUGGAGAAUUAAGAUUUUUAUGAAUCUUUGUUGGUGUAGGUUUCGUAAUCUAAGUCGCCAUUAGGUUUUUUGUUCUGUUCAUAACACUAUGAGGAAAAGAACAAAAUUGUUUGAAUAAAAGUAUAAAUAUUCUAGAUAUUGUUUGAAAUCAAAAUACUAGUAAGAAUAGAACUAAAGGUGUUGCCCCUUAUGGGGUGGCCGAAUUGGUGGAGUAUGUGAGCGAGGAGACUUUUGGUCACAAGUUCGAUUCCCUGUACCAACACUUUCUCGGUCGAGUCUGUCGCAUCGGGCUUGUCUAAUGCGUUUACCUGGCCUGCGUGGUUUGCAGGCUAUUGCAUUAGUCCAAGGGUUUACCUAGUGCGCACCCAAAGGAUAACGGCUGCGGAUUUGCCCGUCAUAAAAAAAAAAAAGGGUGUUCGUUGAAAUAUUUUACAAUGUCAACGUAAGUCAUACUUCAUGGAAAUUGAUAUAACUUUUUCGAAAAAUGCCACUUGACCUUCAUGGAUGAUACUCCCAAUGACCGCGCCCUCACUUGGGAUGCAUGGGUCCCGUGCGAAUAAAAUACAACAUCACUACAGUGCCCGAAUUUUUUUCACAGAGGGAAUGACCAACUCUCACAAUGGUUGGGCCCCACUUUUUUUUUUGGACUUUUUUAUUCACGCGGAACCCAUGGCUUGUGAGAGGAUGUCAAUCAUUUGGUCAUCCAUUUUCGAGCAAAAUAGUUUAAUUCAAAAAUAAUCCCCAACCCUCAUAUUUGUGUGUGUGGUUAUCCCCGCGGGUCGUGUAGCAUUACUAAACUUUUUUAGUAAAAUGGUUCAUCCGUAAGUUCACUUCUUUUUGCAAGAUAAAAUUCUUUUUACACCACAAAAAGAACAUCCAAAAUUUUGCCUUUCAUAUAUAAAGGUUGAAUUCCAACCUUGAGGGUCCCCAUCGUUCUACCCCUAGAGUUUUGUGAGGCAGGUAAGUCGCGGGAUGUGCCCCAACAUGUCAGGGAACAAGAUCUGCCUGUACACUGCGCCUACAAAGGAGUCCAAUUCCAUGUUUCAGGAAUUGAACCCCCCACACUGCGGCUGCCAGCAAGGCGUGAGAUAACCUCAUUCCUGUCAUUUGCACCACUAGGCUAUGCCCCAGAGGGGCUUUGCCUUUCAUAUAUUACUGUAAAGCCGGCCGUCACAAUAGAAGAAAAAAAAUCAGUCUUUCUUCCAAUUUCGAUUAAUCCUGUUUUGUUCGAAUUAAGAUCUAAAUUUGAAUUUAAAUCAAAGUCAACAAUUAAUUUUAACCAAAUGUUUUAUAAAAUAGGCAACUUUUUAACCAUACAUUUCAUCAACUUUUAUCAAAAUCUAUCAAAAAUUUGACUUUAAUUCCACUAAAUAGGAGCUAAUGUAGCCGUAUUUGGUGAGAAUUAAAAUCAAAAUUUUAGUAGAUUUUGAUAAAAGUUGAUAAAAUAUGAAAUUGAAAAAGUUGUGGAACCAAUAAAAUAUAUAAUUGAAAUUAAUUUUUGACUUUGAGAGCAUAACAGAAAAUGUAUCGAUAUGUAUAAAUUGAAAAGGAUUAAACCCCUUUAUCCGGGCUACAUGGUCCACCCACCUUUCACUGGGGCAGCUGUGCAACAUGGUUCAAAGAAUUGAAAUUGAUAAGUACCUUUGUAGAGAGAGAUUAGUUGUACGGGGAGAACAGGGAUAUUGGAUACACGAGCAAGUUAUAGUAUUGUGGCUGCAUUUAUAAUGACAACCAUUAUUUAAAUUUAUUUUUUCUACGCUCUUGUUUUCAAUCACACAUUCACGCAAUAAAAUAUUAUAAAUGUAAAAUCAAAACUUUUUCUACUUUUUAAUCAUAUUCUUGAAAAAAUCACUAUUAAAACUUUAUUUUUGCAAAUUAAUAACCAUCAAAUCGUGCCAAAAAUUUUAUGAAUCCUUGUUGAUUUAGGUUUCCUAUAAGCCAAUGAUUAGAUUCCCCCCCCCCCCCCCCCCCCCCAAACUCACCACCUCCUCAUUGAGAACCACUUCCAAACCCACCACCUAAUUGAUGUAUCUAUUUAUGUAUGCUUAGUUUGUUCUUUAUUGGGGGUUGGGGGGUGGGGUGGAUACUAACGAGCUAUUGCCAACAAUAGACAUUGAUAAAGUUACCAAAUCUUAAAUAAACCGACCCAUUUAACCCAGCCUGUGUUGGCAAGGUCCAGGCCCAUUUACAAGAGACUUUUGUUUAGAUUUGGAUUAUAUAAGAGUUGAAAGCUUGAGAGGAGACAAGGAACUAGAAAAGCUAGUAUUGUGUGAAGUGGAGACAUAGAUUUGCUAUUAUUGUAAGGCGGCCAUUUUGAAGUAUCCUGCUUUGUCCAUAUGAAGAGUGAACACAGUUCCAUAAGUAGCUUCCUUUACAUUGAUCAACAAGUUUGAAUCCGAACAAAAAAAAAAAAAAAUUGCACACUCGAUCAAUCUAUUACCUUAGCAGCAAGUUGAUUUUUUUACUAUUUUAUUGUAGUUGCAUGAUCAAUCACCAAUAAAAAUCUCAUGCCAAUUGUCUUAUUUGAAAAAUCCAUGUUUAUUCACAAAAUCCCUAAAAAAUCAAGAUUGCUUUGUUCAUAAAUGUCAUGAUAAAGAGCAAGUUUUUUCUGUUAGGAGAAUAGAAGUAAAAAUAGGAUUAAAGAAUUCAAACAUGGCAAAAUACAAGCAUUAAUCUCGAAUAUCUUAACGAAUUUUAAGUUUGAUUGUAGCUUUUCCAAAAUACAAUAUCAAGCAAAUAUGUUGUAGAAUUAAAUAAACAACAAUGAAAGGAAUAAUUUAAAUGACAAGCAAAAAAUGCAAUGUGUCCUUGGAAAUCAAAUGUACCACAAUGGAGGUGAAAUAUUACUACGAGAUUCCCCUGCAUAAUUUAAUUGAGUGGUUUUGUCUUCCAUAUUAAAUAUUCCCGUGUCAUGGCCACCUCCGCCUGGUUCCUCGAAAUAGAGCUCAUAGUUAUCAUCCGUGAAGUAUAUGCAGUUUGGCUUGAUAGAUUCUGACGAGGCAACUGAUGUAGAUACAUUACUACCUAAGAACAAUGCUUGAUCUCCUAAACUAGUCACUUGAGUUAAUCUAUAUGCAUAAUUACUCCCCUCCUCAUGACAUUCAUCCAGCCUCCAAACAAAAAAGCCAGUUGUAUAGUAUCCAGCUUCUUUCUCCUCUUCGUUGCCACAGUCUUUGACAUCCUCCACCUCAUCAACAUUAACAUUACCAUCAACAUCACCCAUGUCCUCCUCAUUAUCAUCACCCUCUUCCUCAUCGUCAACAUCAUCAUCGAAAUUAAGUGAAAUACCCUUUCGGAAACGAGCAACAAGUAGAAGAUGUCCUGAUGAUUCGACUAGAUACUUCUGAUAUGUAUCAUUCGUUUCAAUUGGAGCAGGGGCGAUAACUAUUGCUUUUGGGCCAUUGGCGUCAUCAAAGUCACAAACAACUACAACUCCAUGAACAUCCACGGCAUAAAAUUUGCCAUUGUAGAAAAUAAUAUCUUGAUAAACGCGAGAUUGGACGGAGAUGUUAGUCCAAACAGUAUCUCCUAAUUUUGUAAAAACCAAUAUAGCAUAUUCUCCAUAAAUAGCAACUAUAGUACAAUCCUCAUUAUAAUCAUGUAAACAUUUAUCCUUAAGAGGGUUUGAGGACAUCACUAUUUUCGCAACAAAGACACCCCAAACCUCUUGUGGCAUGAAUCUCUCAUCAUAUACAUACUGAUCAGGGAGGGUCAGCAUAGGAGGCAGGCAAAUUUGUUGUCUGGAGAAGGGAUGCAAUAAAUUGAUUUGCAAAUCAAUGCCAAUUGUCCACAACCAUCCGUAAUGUGCUCCUGUGCACUUCCUGCCCCUCGCUUCUGGCAACUGGAGUUGGUAUGUCUUUGAGGUUAAUA